rnacentral:rRNA from 1 species
UCGUGAGAUGUUGGGUUAAGUCCCGUAACGAGCGCAACCCUUGUCCUUAGUUGCCAGCGGUCCGGCCGGGCACUCUAGGGAGACUGCCGGUGACAAACCGGAGGAAGGUGGGGACGACGUCAAGUCAUCAUGGCCCUUACGACCUGGGCUACACACGUGCUACAAUGGCCGGUACAAAGGGCAGCGAAGCGGCGACGCGGAGCGAAUCCUUUAAAACCGGUCGUAGUCCGGAUUGGAGUCUGCAACUCGACUCCA